AGCUUGACGGUACCGUAAGAAUAAGGAUCGGCUAACUCCGUGCCAGCAGCCGCGGUAAUACGGAGGAUCCAAGCGUUAUCCGGAAUCAUUGGGUUAAAGGGUCCGUAGGUGGAUAAUUAAGUCAGAGGUGAAAUCCUGCAGCUCAACUGUAGAAUUGCCUUUGAUACUGGUUAUCUUGAGUCAUUAUGAAGUGGUUAGAAUAUGUAGUGUAGCGGUGAAAUGCAUAGAUAUUACAUAGAAUACCAAUUGCGAAGGCAGAUCACUAAUAAUGUACUGACACUGAUGGACGAAAGCGUGGGGAGCGAACAGGAUUAGAUACCCUGGUAG
rnacentral:rRNA from 1 species